rnacentral:rRNA from 1 species
UACGAGGGGGGCAAGCGUUGUUCGGAAUUAUUGGGCGUAAAGGGCGCGCAGGCGGUUCUCCAAGUCAGUGGUGAAAGCCCGGAGCUCAACUCCGGAACUGCCAUUGAAACUGUUGAACUUGAGGACGAGAGAGGUGAGUGGAAUUCCCAGUGUAGAGGUGAAAUUCGUAGAUAUUGGGAAGAACACCGGUGGCGAAGGCGGCUCACUGGCUCGUUUCUGACGCUCAGGCGCGACAGCGUGGGGAUCAAACAGG